CUACGGGUGGCUGCAGUGGGGAAUAUUGCACAAUGGGCGCAAGCCUGAUGCAGCCAUGCCGCGUGUGUGAAGAAGGCCUUCGGGUUGUAAAGCACUUUCAGCGGGGAGGAAGGCGUUAAGGUUAAUAACCUUGGCGAUUGACGUUACCCGCAGAAGAAGCACCGGCUAACUCCGUGCCAGCAGCCGCGGUAAUACGGAGGGUGCAAGCGUUAAUCGGAAUUACUGGGCGUAAAGCGCACGCAGGCGGUCUGUCAAGUCGGAUGUGAAAUCCCCGGGCUCAACCUGGGAACUGCAUUCGAAACUGGCAGGCUAGAGUCUUGUAGAGGGGGGUAGAAUUCCAGGUGUAGCGGUGAAAUGCGUAGAGAUCUGGAGGAAUACCGGGGGCGAAGGCGGCCCCCUGGACAAAGACUGACGCUCAGGUGCGAAAGCGUGGGGAGCAAACAGGAUUAGAUACCCAGUAGUC
rnacentral:rRNA from 1 species